AGUGUAUCUAGCAGAACUCGCUCAUUUUGCAGAUGAGGAAAAUGGAAUUCAAUGGUUCCUUCCUUCUCCACUCCUAAUCCCUGAACUUCUUUCACCACCAUGCCCUGAAAGAAGAUUCCGUUCCAUCCCACCAUUUGGUGCAGGAGGAGAAAAGAGGAAAGGCAGGCCAAUUCUAUGGACUGAUGGGGAAACGGGCAAGAGGUGAGCGACCCAGGGGAUAGGAGGGCCAGAAGGGAAGUGACAAAGGGCCCAUCAAGGGCUGGCUCCCUAAACUUUGGAGAAUGAAUCAAGUGGACCAAAUGAUGGUUAAAUUAAGG
rnacentral:lncRNA from 1 species